rnacentral:rRNA from 1 species
UUGGGGUAGCCCCCAAAAUAUUGGGAUAUAUAAAAAAAGACAACUCUGUUCUGCAGAGUAGCUGUUGACAUUAUUGUUGCACAGGAACUUUGUUGACUCUAUAGAACCUCAGGCAUAUCUCACAUCCCCAUGGCGGCGACUUUGCAUGCGGAUGUCAUCCAUAUCAACUUUCGAUGCCAGUUUCUGCGCCUACCAUGGUGACCACGGGUAAUGGGGAAUCAGGGUUCCACUCCGUACAGGGACCCUGAGAAAAGACUACCACAUGCAAGGAAGGCAUCAGGCGCGCAAAUGACUCACUCCCGACGCGGGAAGGUAGUGACGA